GCAAUUUCUCUUUGGUUGCACCUGCUUCUUGCAAGGUUGCUUUGGAUUGCACCUGUUUCAUGUUUUCAAAUAAAGAACAAUUGUUAGUUUGAAAUGGUGGUUGGUUUUGUUGCCUUGAUUGUUUCAAUCACUUGAUCUUUGCCUGGCUUCUUUGAUUAGGAUCUCAAAUGCAACUGCUCGUUUACUGGGGACCGAUUUCAUUUCAGGCCCUAAGAACCUCUGGUUUUUCUAGAUUUUGCCAUGACGGUUGGUCGGUGGAACUCAACCUUUUCGACUUUAUUUUGCCUUCGUAGUCCUUUCCCUUUUGACUUCCUUUCUUUUUUAUUUUUUUUUCUCUCUUUUUUUUCUCUUAUUUUUUUUUAAAAACAAAUUUUGGAGCAUUAGGGACUUUUGGCUCCUCAAACUUUGUCGCAACGGCUAGUCACGUGGGACUUAACUUUUUCCAACUUUAUUUUGCCUUCGUAGGCCUUUCAUUUCUGGCUUCUUUCUUCCAACUUUAAAUUAAGAUCAUUUGGGUACCUUGGCUUUUCAAACUUUUGCCGAGAUGGUUGACCACGUGAAACUCAACUUUUUCAGCUUCAUUUGCCUUUAUAGGCACUUCAAUUUUAUUUUCUCCUUCUAAGAGUUUUGAUUUCGAUGUAUCGGCUGUCAUGGCCAGUCGAGGCCGACUUACCCCUGACGAGGCUGGGUGCCUUUUGCAUAUUAGCUUGUAUCAAAUGUGAACCCUAUAAAUCAGUCUUACCAUCCUUUAUUUGUCUUAGUUUCAGAACAGAGUUAGACCUAAUGGGAUUCAAAGAAAACAAAAAAUGGAAUGGAGAAUGGGUUUAAAACAAGAAGUGUCCCGUUCGGGGAAAGGAAAGAAGUACUUAUCUGGAGUACAUGCGGACUUCAAUGAACAUGACAUGCCUUUUGGAAUAGAUGUCUGAUCUGUGUAAACCGUCCGACUCUCAUAAAUUCAUCACACCUUUUGCCUCAAAAUCGAGAAACCUAGCUAGGACUUUGUCGAUACCGAUGGCUGUGAGAAUCCUCUUUUCGAUCAAGGGCGCCCUUUGCGGGUUUUCAUGAGCUGACCUCUCUCAUUUCUCUACUCACCAUCGCCUUAUAGUGCUCUUUGCAAGUUUUCACUAACAAGACUCUAUCAUUUUGAUUUCUUUGCUUAUUGUCGCCUUACGAUGCCUGUGUGGGUUUUCACCAAUAAGACUAUCUCAUUUUGACUGUAUCGGAUCUGAGUAACUGUAUUCUUUGGUCCUUGAACAUUCUCAUCGAUUGAUCGGAAGGACUUGAACAAGGUUUGGGUAAAAAAGGAUUUGGAUUGAGUUACAACUUUGGAACCUUUUGGGGGGGGGGGGAUCAUCGCCGAACCAUUAUAACAUCUGCCCCAGUUUCACUUUUUGGGGGGAUUUGAAUUUUUAUUUUGGUGUGACUGAACCUCAGAGAGGCUGGCUACGUAUCCUUUCAGAAUCAAGUCGAACGUAGUUCAGGAAACUUUGUUUUUUGAUUUUCUUUUAUUUUUCUGUUUUGUUUUGUUUUCUCUUUCUUUUUCCUGUCCUUUUUCAUUCAUUUUCUUUGUUUUUUUCUUCCACCCUUUUUUCCCUCUCUUUUUAUUAUUAUUUUUUCAAAACCUUUUUUGUAAUAGCACUUUCAGGUUCCAAAGAGGGUAAUCAAAGAAGAGUAACCGACUCAAAGGGUUUGCAAAGGGUUGAUAGUGUUUGGGUAGCGAAAAUGAAAGUCAUCGUCAUCCCAACCGGAGAAUAUUAAUAUUAUAUGGAGGAUCAAACAUAGUACCUUUUGGCUGCAUUUGCAUUGACAGUUGUUACAGGGACAUUUCCUUCGAUGUGUCCCAAGUACAAUGCACUCUUUUAGCAAUACUCUUGUUGCAAUAUACGGACCUUUCCAAACUGAAGCCAAUUUUCCUUUAGUUGUUCCAACUCUUUGUUUUAUUUCCUUUAACUUAUCUUCAUUGAAAUUUGAUUUUUGAUUCAUUAUUUCGAAGUCUGAUAGUGUUUUAGUAUCUGGGUAUGAAGUCCGAAAGCAUGUCAUGUUAUUGAAAUAGGCAUUUAACAGAACUAAAAAGAGAAUAAGGAAAAUGACAAGAUUAAGAAANNNNNNNNNNNNNNNNNNNNNNNNNNNNNNNNNNNNNNNNNNNNNNNNNNNNNNNNNNNNNNNNNNNNNNNNNNNNNNNNNNNNNNNNNNNNNNNNNNNNNNNNNNNNNNNNNNNNNNNNNNNNNNNNNNNNNNNNNNNNNNNNNNNNNNNNNNNNNNNNNNNNNNNNNNNNNNNNNNNNNNNNNNNNNNNNNNNNNNNNNNNNNNNNNNNNNNNNNNNNNNNNNNNNNNNNNNNNNNNNNNNNNNNNNNNNNNNNNNNNNNNNNNNNNNNNNNNNNNNNNNNNNNNNNNNNNNNNNNNNNNNNNNNNNNNNNNNNNNNNNNNNNNNNNNNNNNNNNNNNNNNNNNAAAACAUCCGGAUCACACCUUGAGAUAAUCCGGGCGCAGAAAGGAUAGCAAGACUGGAUACCGAGACUCCCGUUUGAUAGGUAACUUUCAGGCUUGGCGAUCGUCUUUAGGCUUUUCUUAUGUUUCGGCAAUGGCUGCAACGGCCUUCAGUGCCAGAUCAAAUUUCUUAGCUUCUCAAAUCAUUCCGACUAUUGGCCCGAUGUUGUGGGCAGGCAACAGAUUGUCAUUCACAUCAGGAGCUUCUUCAUCCCGAAAAAUGAUUAUUUCAGUUUCAAUCAAAUCUUCGACUGCCCUUUUGAGGGUCCAACAGUCCUCGGUACUGUGUCCCACUACUCCAGAGUGGUAUUCACAUCUAGCAUCAGCUCGGUGCGAGGGGGACUCGGGGUUUGGCCGGUUCGGGGCCAUUGGCUGCAAUAGUUCUAGCCUGAUAAGCUUUUGAAACAAGCUUGAAUACGAUUCACCAAUAGGGGUGAACUGACUCUUUCUGAAAGGUUCUCUAGGCUGAGGAUUGUAUUAGGGAUCAUUUAGUUGAGGAUUAUAUGGAGCUUGGUAAGGAUGGGCAUUUCUGGGAGGUGGAACUCGAUUUUGUGUAUAAUGUUAUGGCUGGGUGUAAGAUUGCGCGCUCAUCACCGUAUACAGAGGCGGUGCCACGACAUAAGCAUCAUCUUGAAGGGGAUAAUAGUGUGGUGGGACCAUAGGAGGCACAUAUGACUGGUGAAUGACCUGCGGGUCCCCCUCGAGCUUGAAACCAUUAUGGCUCCCUCCUCACUCCCAUUGUUGUUCAUCAAACCCUCCGAACCAUUUUGAACAUCUGGUGAUGUGGCUUUAAAAGCAGCAUGACCCAAGAUUUGGCCCAUUUUUAGAACGUUUUCAACCAUUUCCGCAAUUUUGAUAGCCUCAGCGAACGACUUACCCACAACAGACAUCAUGCUCCGGAAGUAGUCAGCCUCUUGGGCCUGCAGAAAAACCAUGACCAUUUUAGUUUCAUCCAUUGGAGGUUUUACCCUGGCAACUUGCUCACGCCAUUUGACAGUAUAUUCGCGGAAGUUUUCCGCGGUUUUCUUUUUCAAAUUGGACAAAGAGUUUCUAUCGGGAGCGAUAUCCACAUUAUAUUAGAACUGGCGGACAAAAUCUCAGGCCAUAUCGUCUCACACAUGCCAAUUGGUAGUUUCUUGAUCCAUAUACCACUCAGAAGCGAUUCAAGUAAGGCUUUCACCAAAAUAGGCAAUUAGCAGCUCCUCUUUUCCACCAGCACCCCUUAACUGGUUACAGUAUCAUUUCAGAUGAGCGACCGGGUCUCCGUGCCUAUUGCACUUUUCAAAUUUUGGCAUCUUGAAGCCAGCUGGCAAGUGGAUUUGAAGCCAGCUGGUAAGUGGACAUGGGGAAACAUACAGAGGUCAGAGUAUGCGACACUCUUUUGGCCAUUCAGACCUUGCAUGUUUUUCAGGCGUUGUUCCAGGCUCUUCAUCUUCCGAGACAUUUCCUCUUGCUCAGGAUUUUUAAUGAACUUUUCUUUCUCCACUGAGAGAUCACAUUGUGGAGGUUGAGUGAAUGAGUUUGGGGUCACAUAUGUCAUUUAUGAUUGAAGUUGUGGACCCUCAAAGGUGAACAUUGGAGGCUCAACAUACGGCCGUGGUAAAGUUAGUUGUGCUCUGGUGCAGACUGGUGCUGUAGAGAACAAUAUUGGAGGUGCCCAGGAAACUGGCGCCUGGGGGAGAACCACAGAAGGCAUUCCGGGAUCAUCGAACGGGAAGGUGCCCGCAUGGGAUAAGCGAGUUGGGCACAGGGGCGUUGGUAACCUCGCUUGACCUGGGGAUCAACUCAGGGAACCCAAGAAUUGCAGCGGUUCCCUACCAUUAGACCAUGACGCCGCAUGAAUCAGAUCUUGCGUAGUUCGGGAAGAUUGGGAAUGGAGUAAAUAAACUAACUCUUUUUUUUUUUUUACUUUUUGUAAAACUUAGACCAUGAAAGCUUUAAGGCAAAAGAAAAUCAUUUUUGAUUUUUUUCGAUUUUUUUUCUUUUCUUUUCUUUUGCUUUUCUUUUUGAAAUUUUGAAAAGAAAUACUUUAAAAGAAGAAAGAAAAUAUUUUUUUGGAUUUUUGAUUUUGAUUUUGAUUUUAUUAUUUUAUUUUUGAAAGAAAGACUUCUAAAAAUCCCUUUUCUUUUGAUUUAAUUUUUGGGAAUUUCAAAAGUAAAAAAGAAAAUAUUUUUGUUAGAAUUUUCAUUUUUUUUUAUAUUUUUCUAAAGGAGAAAGAAAAUAUUUUCAGAUUUUUGAUGUUGCCUCUUAAUUUUCAAAAGAAGGACUCUUUUAAGAAAAAGGUAUUUUGAAUUUCUGAUUUUUUAUUUUUAUUUACAAAAGUACUUCUAAAGAAAAGCAAAAAUAUUUUUGGACUUCAAUUUUUCAAAUUUUUUUUUGACAUUUACGAAAGAAAUACUUUUAAAGAAAGAAAAGAAUAUUUCCCCCUUUUUUUGGUUUUUUUUUAAUUUUUUGGAAAAAUACUUCAAAAUAAAGGAAACCUGUAUUUCGGAUUUUUAUUCUUUUUCAUUUUUCUUUUUAUUUCUUUUUUCCCAUAUGAAAGACUUCAGAAAGAAGGAAACUAUUUUUGAUUUUAAAAACAUCUUUUUUUUGAAUUUUCUAUGGAAAGAUUUCUAAAGAAGGAACUAAAAGAAAAUAUUUUUGGAUUUUUGAAAAUUGGGGCCGAAACCGAUGAGGUUUGCCGACGUAUCUUACAUCCGGUGAAAAUCAGACCCAUGUAGUUCUGUCAAUUUUGAUGGAACAAGGGAAACAUGGCACUUGAAAAUUUUGGCUCAUUUUGAAAUGACAUUUUUUCAGAAUUUCGGAAGAGUUUCAGGAUUUUCAGAAUUUUGGAAGAGUUUCAGGAUUUUCUAAAGAAGGAACUAAAAGAUGUGCAUUUAAAAACAUCUUUUUUUUUCUUUCCCUAUUCUAGAAGUCGGUCAACAUGCUAACUGAAUCGAACAAAUUCGCAAGUAGCACAUAAGAUGCAUCAGGAUGGUCUUUUAAUCUUUGGGUACACCUGUCCUAGACAGACCCAACCCCUGUGUUGAGUCCCCAAAGUCAAAUGCACGUGAUGCAAACAAGCGUUCCUACUAGGGAUCCAGUAUGAAGUUAUGUUAUUCUAGGUUUAAAAACCUGGGUGUAUUGUUCUAGACCUGGCUUACCCGAGUGGAUAGCUUGAGCAGGGGGGAGCAGCGUUCCGGGAAUACAGAAGCUUCACCUGCUUUGCUACUUGUCCGAACCUCGUUCUAAAAGUGGGAUAUGACUCUAACAGAAAAAAAAGUCACACGAAGUGCACACUUCCCAGAUGAUUGAGAAGACUCAGAGAGAAGAGGGUUUCGUAACAAUUUAUAUACAGUUCAAACAAUAUCAAAGCGGUAAAAAACGACAUUUAGCACAUUAGGCUUAAACAUGUAGAAAUUAGAUAAUAAAUAAAGCCAAGUAUAACAAUUAUUCUAAGCUCGAAUUCUAAACCUUGAACUAGAAGUUCUGGAUUCUUUUACCCAGUAGAGUCGCCAGAGUUGUCACAGCUCCUUUCACACCCCGAGAAGGGUCUAUGGGAGUUUUUUCAAUUAAAGUGACAUUAUAUGAAAUGGGAUUAUUUUAUUUAUUUUCAGAGUCGCCACUUGGAAUAGUUUAUUUGGUGUCCUAAGUCACCAAUUUAUUUUAAAAUCCCAAUCGAAGAAAUUUCGAAUUUAUUUAAAAGUCUGCGAACCUGAAAUUCUAAGUAAGAAAUUUUGUUAACCGAGAGAAGGUGUUAGGCAUUCCUCGGUUCCGUGGUUCUAGCACGGUAGCUUAAACUAUUAAUAUUGGCCUAUUAUUUGAUUUAUUACAUGUUUUAAACCUAUUGUGUAUUUUUGACUUUUAUAAUCGCCUUUUAUUUAUUUUAAAACCGCUUUUAGGAUUUAUGGAAUUAUUUUCUGAACAAGUUACGAUUGUCAUACACUUGUUUGAUUUGGAACACGCCACGAACUACGCAACAUGAAAUGCACCCGCGAUUCACGACAUGCUUAUUUUAUUAUUAAUGUUCGAAGUUGUUACGAUCGGGUCACAUAAAAUGCACACCCGAUUUUGGGGAUUAGGUAUCAUAACAAUGUCACGGGAACCGUACCCAUAGUCACGGUGAUUUUAUUAUAAACAUGCCUAAACCAAACUACGAAUGUUUCAAGUGUUUUAUACACUAGUUUUGUAUUUAUGUGAGGGCCAUGGAUUACAGGAUUCAUUUGUAGAUGACAUGCCUCAAUAUUUUUUAAAAGAUUUGUACUCAAUUAAGGCAAACUAUGGAUGUUCAUAUGAUUCGCUAGCUUAAUAUUGACAGUUGUGAAUGGGAUAAAUAGUUAUGUCCAAACAUUCUACUUCAAACACACAAAUAGUUCUCAAUGACCAUAGUCUCUAACUUGCGUCAAUUCUUUUGAUAACAAUCCUAAGCACACAGUACUUGAGGCAAAUUAAACCCCCACUACACAAAAAAUUCUCUGUAUGGAACACUUAAGGGAAAUUUUUUCCUUCUCAUUCAUUAUUAAAGAAUUGACGUAAAUAAGAGUAUAUAAAAUUCCAAUAGAGAGGAAAUCUGAUUAAAACACACAGGAAAUGGCAAAUAUCAACAAAUUACUGCCUAGAGUUCUUCGUAUUAAGUAAAGAGUACGUAAAUCACACAUAACAUACUAAAUUAGUGCAUUUCCUACGAGAUAGAAUUCUUCUAACUGUAGCCUUUUAUUUUCACCACUGUUGCCUAGAAGUUUGGUAAAUUAAAAUGCUUCUAAAUAUUCGGUAGCAACAAGCAACAACAUUUAUAUCAAGUUCCGCUAGCAUCUUCACAAUGAUAAUCCUAAUGUUCAUAAAAACAGUCAAACAGACCCAAAAUAUAAAUUUUGAGAUUUACUCUAGACUUUUGUUAAAUAUCCUAGAUGAAUAAUUAUUUAUAGCGGCUAAAAAUUUAGACAUGAGAAAAAUUUCAACUACACAGCCAAAACAAUUCAGAAUAAUUCUUUGACUAAGCUUCAAGGCAUUCCUAGCAAUCACUAAUAUCCAACUUAAAUCUUCAAAUUUAAAUACUUAAACCGAACAAAUCAGAUGGAGAAGAAUCUAGUAGCCAACAUUUCAUUGUAAGUCAAAAAGGAAAUACAAUUUGAGAUAUGUACCUAAUUUCUCAUGAACUGACUAAGAUUUAACAAACAAAGGCCAGGUGAAGGAAGGUUGGAACUCAGCAAAGCAGAAAAUCCACAAAUACAGCAUAUACAGCAGCAACACAGUGAUGCCGGACUCAACUUUCGUCCAAAAAUAGCUCGAAUCAUAACUGGUUUGGAGCUUUCUUCAUCUGCAUUCACUUGUAGCAGUGAGCAAAUAAUGGAUGAUGAGUGAUUUUCCGACAAAAAUAAGAACAAAACCGGUCAGAUCUUGUUAGAUAUGAAACACCAUUAGUGAACAAAAUGGGAGCUGCAAUUUCGCCGACUUCCAAUGAGUUUCAUUGCCAUAGAAAUAGGGGUGAAAGAAAUAUAAGAAUAGGGGUGUUCUUUGGUGUGAAGAAUAGGGGUCUGGUUUGCGUUCUUCGCAUAGAAUUUUGAGAAAUGAAAGAAGAAGAAGAAAAGAGCUCUUGAGCGCCGUUUCUAUGGUUUUUUGGGAGGGAUCCGGUCUUCUAGUUCUUCUCUUGUAAUUUUUGAUGAAGAAAAAGAAGAUAAGGAGCGCCAUUUGUUUGAAAGAGAAAGGGAUCUGAUUUCUAUCGCUUAGGUGUAGGAAAGGACUGGGGAAUGAUUUAGG
rnacentral:lncRNA from 1 species